AUAUCACCUCAGGAACAUAUGAUAAAAUUGGAAUGAUACAGAGAAGAUUAACACAGCCCUGUGCAAUGUAUAAUAUAAAAUGACAAUGUACGAUAAUAAUUCAU